AGUGAACGCUGGCUGUAUGCCUAACACAUGCAAGUCGAACGUUAUUACAUUAAGACCUUUCUCUUACGGUUGGCGAUUGUCGGACGAGUGAGCUUUACAUCGCAAUUUGCUUUUUCGUGGUGUAUAACGUAUGGAAACCGACGCUAUUACCCCUUACGAUCUACCGGUGAAUUCAGGCUAAAUUCCGACCUUGGCUGAUAGAAUCAGUUUGUGUCGGAUUCGCUAGUUGGCGGGGUAAGUUCACAACAAGCCGACGAUACGUAGCGAGUUUGAGAGGAUGGUCAGGCACAAUGGAACUGAGACACGGUCAAGACUCCUACGGGAGGCAGCAGUGGGGAAUAUUGGACAAUGGGGGCAAGAAUGAUCCAGAAAUACUGCGUGGGUGAAGAAGGAAUUCGGGUUGUAAAAACAUUUUGUUGGGAAAGAAAAGAAGCAGGUUAAUAACCCGGUGAUCUGACGGUACCCAAAGAAUAAACACCGGCUAAAUUCGUG
rnacentral:rRNA from 1 species